AGUGAACGCUGGCGGCGUGCCUAAUACAUGCAAGUCGAACGAUGAAGUCCUAGCUUGCUAGGAUGGAUUAGUGGCGCACGGGUGAGUAAUAUAUAGUUAAUCUGCCCUACACAGAGGAACAACAGUUGGAAACGGCUGCUAAUACCUCAUACUCCUAUUUGACAUAAGUUAAAUAGGGAAAGUCUUUUCGGUGUAGGAUGAGACUAUAUCGUAUCAGCUAGUUGGUAAGGUAAUGGCUUACCAAGGCUAUGACGCGUAACUGGUCUGAGAGGAUGAUCAGUCACAUUGGAACUGAGACACGGUCCAAACUCCUACGGGAGGCAGCAGUAAGGAAUAUUGCGCAAUGGGGGAAACCCUGACGCAGCAACGCCGCGUGGAGGAUGACACUUUUCGGAGCGUAAACUCCUUUUAUCAGGAAAGAAUAAUGACGGUACCUGAUGAAUAAGCACCGGCUAACUCCGUGCCAGCAGCCGCGGUAAUACGGGGGGUGCAAGCGUUACUCGGAAUCACUGGGCGUAAAGGACGCGUAGGCGGAUUAUCAAGUCUUUUGUGAAAUCUAGUGGCUUAACCACUAAACUGCUUAGGAAACUGAUAGUCUAGAGUAGGGGAGAGGUAGAUGGAAUUCUUGGUGUAGGGGUAAAAUCCGUAGAGAUUAAGAAGAAUACCCAUUGCGAAAGCGAUCUGCUGGAACCUAACUGACGCUGAGGCGUGAAAGCGUGGGUAGCAAACAGG
rnacentral:rRNA from 1 species